GCAGCAGCAGCGAAACUCGUCAAUGCACGAAAGUGUGAACGGGCUACCCGAGUGCUGUCCGCUGAGGAUGGCUUUUCUCUGCUGUAAGGAGGCGGAGGAAUAAGGAGAGGGCAAGUCUGGUGUCAGCCGCCGCGGUAAUACCAGCUCUCCGAGUGGUGGGGAUGUUUAUUGGGCUUAAAGCGUCCGUAGCCUGCCCUUCAAGUCUUUCGUUAAAUCCAGCGAUUCAAUCGUUGGACUGCGGGAGAUACUGUUGGGCUAGGGGACGGGAGAAGCCGACGGUAUUUCCGGGGUAGGGGUAAAAUCCUAUAAUCCCGGGAGGACCACCAGUGGCGUAGGCGGUCGGCUAGCACGUGCUCGACGGUGAGGGACGAAAGCUGGGGGAGCAAACCGGAUUAGAUACCCGGAUAGUCCCAGCUGUAAACGAUGCGGGCUAGGUGUUGGGGUGGCCACGAGCCACUUCAGUGCCGCAGGGAAGCCAUUAAGCCCGCCGCCUGGGGAGUACGGCCGCAAGGCUGAAACUUAAAGGAAUUGGCGGGGGAGCACCACAAGGGGUGAAGCUUGCGGUUCAAUUGGAGUCAACGCCGGGAACCUUACCGGGGCGACAGCAGGAUGAAAGCCAGAUUGAUGUCUUGCUGGACGAGCUGAGAGGAG
rnacentral:rRNA from 1 species